ensembl:lncRNA
CCAGCGUAAUUAACUUCCUCAGAAGAAAAGCAAGUUUUGAAGAGUGUUCUAGGAGCAGCAGGAUCCCAUAAAGGGCGAGGCAAAGGUGUCCCCUGGAAACAGAGGCCUUGAACAGCUGGCCACUGCUGUGAUCAGCAAAAGAAAACCAGGUUCUCCAGCUAUCCGGGCACAGCGAUGUUCAGCAAAACGUCACACAACAGCAGCUCAGUUCUGGCAGAUCCCAACGGCACAGCACGGGACCCCCUGUCUGCAAUGCUCCCGUGUUGCUGUGGGUUUUCUUGCUCCGCCGCAGUACUGAAAGCUGCAGUGUUCCUUUCUUUCACUACCUUUUGUUCCUGGAAAUAAUCCCUUUUCCACGUAGCUGUGGAACUAUGAAGCUGCCUGCUGCAGUUGCAUUCUUUAUCUGGCUGUCAUCUGUACUUCACAGCGAAGCCCUGAGCUGCCUCUGCCAGAGCACUGCUGCUCUUGGCUCUGGAUGCGCCAGCGACUGCCUCACUUCUGGUUGGAGGGCUUAAGUGGAGUAGGAUUGUUUUACCUUUCUUCUGUGAUGCAGAUAUAAUGCUGAGUAAAAUGUGUAUUGGGAAAGGUGGGGGAAGACCACUACUACCUGUUGAUGUUAGAAAGCAAUGUAUGGUAUUUGUAUAUCUUCUUGGCAUUGAUUUCCAACUACCAGCAGCUAAAGCAGAGACACGUUCAUUAAAAAUAUCCUCACAGACCUCAAGUGUGCAAAUGCAAGCUGCAUCCUGACUAGAUGUCAAACGUUCUGGGUGUAACUGUGCACUUCCCAUCACUAAUGCAAAGCACUCAGUGCCGUUCUGAUGCAUGGGAUGUGCCCAUCUCCUUUCCUUCCUUUGGACAUGGCUCCUCUGCAGCUGUGAUUUCCCGGUGGCACAACCUGUGGGUGGGUCUGCAACCACCCCACCACUCUGUGUAUGCAUUUCCCCCACUGCACAUGGAGACUUAAAGCCAGUACAAGGCGAAAAGCACUUGGAAAAGUCUCAGGCCUGCUCGAGCACCUACAGGCGUACUUCCUUGACAAGAGUGGGCAUAGCAGAGCAGCUGUAGUAAUCAUGUUCAAAAACCAAAGCAAUCCAACACGGUAAGGAGCUCACAGCCACUCAUAGCUUUGCUAUUUGCCAGCCACAGGCUGCUCAGAACUCAGCUCGUGCUGCCAAGUCACGCUUACUCAUAGGUGCAGUUACAUGCAUUUGUAAAUCAGUGGUUAAAAUGGCCCAGAGCUCUGCAGGCUGUCAGUCUGCAUGGGCAGAUCCACACAGGUUGAAAUAGAUUGUGUUUAUGAGAAAGUUUCCAGAAAAAAAAGAAAAUAAUAAUAAUAAUAAUAACAACCACAGGACAAAGUUGCAUCCAAGGGUUAGGACUGCAGAAAAAAAUACCUGUUACACUGUGCAGGGUGUGCUGGUGGUUCAGGUGUGUUCAGCCCACGUGGGCAGCAGGACAGCUCGUGCAUCUCCCCUCUGCUGGCACUUUAGCUUUUGACUGCUGUAGAAUGGAGCAAGCAAGCUAAGGUUCCCUCUCUGAAGAUUUGCAUACGGAAAUCAGCGUUUGGAAGCCCAGGUCGUUAACCUCACCAUUUGCUGUUGCACUCCAUGCUACUUCCUCAAACCAGGGCUGCUGUUUCUGUGGUAACCAUCAGUCCAUAUCUCAUCUGGAGAGCAGCUUCUUGUGCUGUACCUUUCCCUUAAGACCCAUGUCCUCCCCCCCCCAGCUCCAGUGCUUCAGUGGACUUGGUGGUAGUUGCCUGUUCAGUCUCUUCUUUUGAGGCACACAGACCUGCACUUCUCACCAACUUCAGCAUUCCCCAAUGCCUCAUGCUAGGGAAUGCCUCUCCUUCUUCCAGAAGCUGAUAUUCAGAGCAGUGACUGCUUGCUCUGAACAAGGACAGAAUGGACUGGGAAUAAAGCAGAGGUGCUAAGGCUGUUACUGUGUGAGAAUGACACAGCACCAGGGGAGUGAGUUAGGACAGACAUUGAUGAACAUUCACUACCCAGCUUGCAUGUUCACAAAGCUACCUAUCUGCAUAGGUCACUGUUUCUUCCAGUUAGUACCCAAAAUGCUCCUGCAGAUGGGAUCACACUAGGUGACACCCUUUAUAGACUAAGGAGAAGGUGGAUGCAAAGAAGAGCAAGGUACCAUGGCUACCCAGGCUCUAUUCUCUAACCUGCUUCCUUUCCUGUGCUCCUCUUCCUCUAUUUUCUCUCCAGGUUUGCAAUAUUCAGAUGUGUUGAUGACACACGACUGAACUGGUUUAGCAAAUCACUGUGCAUAAUGUGAUACUCAGUCUGUGCUCUUAGACCAGUCCUCAUGAAUAGGCAUGCUAUACAGAAAUGUUAUCUCAGCUGCAGAUUAAAUAUGGAAGAGCACUCUGUCCUGUCAAACAAACAAGGAAACUGCUCUGGAAGAGGAAACAGUGGUUGUGUACCUCAGUUACACUGCUUACUUCACUGUUGGAUGUGAAUGAGGAGGAGAAGCAAAGACCACCUCGGUCUUGGACCAGCUGGCUUUAAGGUGCUGGCAAAGACAUGCCUAUGGGGAACAAAUAUUGACUUGAUGAUCUAACGAAGCUCAAUAAAAGUAAAGCACUUAUUCUGAGCUGACUCCAUCAGUGAGAAAGGCACCAGUCCCUGUGGAGAGUGAUUCAUCCCUCUCUCCAGAGUCCCUUAAGACCAGACCGAGGACUUGCUCAAGCCGCCUGUCCAUUUCCUUUGCCUAUAAAUGCACACUUAAAGCUACUUCUCUCUUUAGAUUACUGCAGCUAAAGCGCCGAGUCCCAUUUCUCACACCCUUGGUGAGAACACUGAGGUACUACGUAUGAAGCAUGCACACACGUGGUCUCUUCCUGUGUUUUGCAGAUCUCUGAAGUCCCCGUGCUGAGGCCUCCGUGCUGUGUGCCAAUUACUUCUCCCAUGGGCUAACAAUCUGCUGCCAGAGCUGUGGAGUGUGACAAUGGUGUUUGUGUCCAAUCUAUCAAACGCCAUUAUCACACUAAAUAGCUACUGGUAGAUGAGACUUCAAGUCAGAGAAGCAUAUCUGACAUGGGAAUAUGGAGACAGGAAGACAGCUAAUCUAUUAAGCACCAUUUCCCACCUAUUUCUGACAUGCACACUGGAGUUUGCUCAUUGUCAUUGUCAGACAACCUAAACUGUUCAUGCUGUGACCCAGAAAUGUCAGUAAGGGAUUGCUGAGAGGAACCAGCAUGAAGAAGAUACUCCUGACACAGACUUCCUACUCGCCAGACAAACAAGACAGACUGCAG